UGACCAAACCCCAAAUUCUUCAUGAAAGAAUUGGUUGAAUACCAAACCGAAUUUGCACAUGGAUUCGGCCGAAUCCAAAUCCUGCUGAAAGAGCUAGAAUCCCAAACUGAAUCCUGGAUUUGGUGUAUCUCUAGUUUUAACACCAAAGGGAAUUUAAUGAGCAGUCCUUAGCCAGGCCAGAUCAACACAGGUGGCCAGACCAGCAGCAGCAAUUCUAAAUGGAAAAGCAUGAGUAAGCCAAUGGCUCAGCCAAGUCACCCCAGGACAGGUAAUCAGUGCAAAUGAAGCUGGAUGAACUGAAGUACAAUAGGUAAAUGGGAUGACAGUGGCGCUGCUGGGAACUGGAGAACCGACUGACUGCACAGCAGACCGAGAUGAGCAGCAAAUUAGAAUUUUGCAGGGGGGGGGGGGUAACAGACAGGGAAGCAGAGAAAUGGCAGCAGCUACAAGAAUGGGACAGAGUGCAGGCACAAGAAUAGGAGCUGAUGGUCCUGGAGACCUGUAGCCUGAUUGAAAUGGCAGGGAAGCAAUAGAGAACAGCUGAGAAGCAGAUGGCACAAGCAGAGGGCUAAGAAGUUGGCAGAGUGAGCAGAAAUGCAAAACAGACAUGGCUGACAUGGAGAGGACCCGUGCUGGAGGAACAGGAGAGUAACCGGUGCAAAGAGUGGAGACAUUUCAUUGGGAACUCAACUGAACACAAGGGGGCUCAUUUAUAAACACUGGGCAAAUAUGCCCCUAGGCAGUGACCUAUGGCAACCAAUCAGAAGUUUGUUUUUACUUUUUUGUCUGCAGCUGGCUGGAAAACUCUGAUCACAGAUUGGUUGGUUCUCCCAGAGAAGGGGCACUGAUGGUAUAGCACUUUUGGUGGGCAAUGUGUUGUCUGCAAGGAUGAAUGGAACUACACAAAAAAGAUAUAGAGGAAGCUGUGUAACCAUACUCAUGGAAGAAGACUUAAUAGUCUCAGCUGAUGGGGGCUACCAUUUAUCAUGUAUAUGAAUUGAUGACUGAUCCUUGGGGGGCAAAGGGUGGAGUUUGAGGUUGAUUGGCAUCUGCGCAAGCACGUAUUACCUGGCAUCCUCCGAGGGUGAAAAUUUAUUAAAAGCUGCCAUAAAAAAGCAAAACGCGAUAAGGAAGUGCCUGGAAGGAUGGUCAAAUAUCAUUCUGGCCUUGGCGGUGACAGCUGAAAGUGAAUAAUCUGCUGUCUCCUGUAGUGUGUCUAUAUCAAGCUUUCAAAUGGGGGUCACGCAGAAAGAGAGGAAUGGAAACAUACGUCUGCAACACAGAAUAGACAUAUAUGUGCAUUUAGAAGGGUAAAACAGAACUUGCGUGUAUCUAUAGUAUGAACCAACUUUUUAAUUGGUCUUCAUUGUUUAUUUUUUAUGUUUUUUUAAUUAUUUGCCUUCUUUUUCUAAA